GGGCCUGUGGCGCAACGGUAGCGGUAAGUUGCCAAUUCAGCAGCCUCAGCCAAUAAACAUUCGCUAAUUCCCCCUCAGCGUUCGACUCCAGAUCGAAAGGUUGUUGGUUCAAAUCCUGCCGGGCUCA
rfam:Byssochlamys spectabilis No. 5 DNA, contig: PVAR5_00012_1.